UAUAUGAACCGCUCCAGUGGCCUAGUGGUUAGAGCGUCCACCUCAGAUGUGGGAGGUCAUGGGUUCGAUUCUUGGCCGAUUCAUGUAA